CGGACUGGAUGAUGAGGCUUUGAUGCUUGUAUAUGAGAUGCAAAAGCUUGGGGUUGCAAUUGAUGAUAUAACAAUUACCAUCCUGCUUUCUGCGGCAUCAAAUCUUAGGGACAGGGAAAUUGGUAAACAGACCCAUGCUUACCUUCUGAGGCACAAUAUUCAAUUUGAAGGGAUGGAGAGUUACCUGAUAGACAUGUAUGCCAAAUCUAAUAUGAUUAGAGAAGCACAAGUAAUAUUCCAGUCGAACUUCACAAAUGAUAAAGAUCAAGCCACGUGGAAUGCUAUGAUUGCUGGAAACACUCAAAAUGGAUUAAUUGAACAAUCCUUUGUUGUCUUCAGGGAGAUGCUAGAGCAGAAUGUGAAGCCAAAUGCUGUGACCUUAGCAUCAAUACUCCCAUCAUGCAGCCAGUCAGGAAGUAUAGCAAUAGGCAAGCAGCUACAUUGUUUUGCGAUUCGCAAUUUGAUUGAGAACAAUGUUUAUGUUAUUUCUGCUUUGGUAGACAUGUAUUCAAAAUCAGGAAUCAUUGAUUAUGCUGAAAGUGUUUUUCUAAAAUCUCCUGAGAAGAACUCUGUGACAUAUACAAAUAUGAUUUUGGGAUAUGGCCAGCAUGGGAUGGGUAGGAAAGCUCUAACACUGUUCUACUCUUUGCGGCAGAAUGGUUUAGAACCAGAUGCUGUUACCUUUGUAGCAGUCCUGUCUGCUUGCAGCUACACCGGAUUGGUUGAUGAAGGCCUUCAAAUAUUUGAGCUGAUGGGCAAAGAAUACGGGAUUCAGCCGUCGGCAGAGCACUAUGCUUGUGUGGUUGACAUGUUAGGAAGAGUUGGACGGUUGGAUGAAGCUCAUAAUUUUGCUAAACAGUUGGGUGUUGAGGGUAAUGUCUUGGGAAUAUGGGGAUCACUCCUUGCAGCCUGCAGAGUACAUAGAAAUUUUGAAUUGGGGAAAAUUGUUUCCAGUAAGCUGCUUGAAUUAGAGGGGAGUGAUGAAAUUUCUGGUUAUCAUGUUCUGCUCUCAAAUAUAUAUGCAGAGGAAGGAAACUGGCAGUCUGUCGAUAAUGUCAGAAGAGGAAUGCGCAAAAUGGGAUUGUCAAAGGAGGUUGGGUGUAGUUGGAUUGAUACUUCUGGAUAUCCACACUGUUUUGUAUCUAAAGAUAAGAAGCAUCCUCAGUACUGCAUGAUAAAUGAUAUGUUGGGAUAUUUAACCAUCAAUAUGAAGGAUGCUGGCUAUAAGCCUAAACUUGAACUAAUAGAAGAGUGGGUCUAUGGGCCAGAAGAAUAAAAAACUAUUAGUUCUCCCACUAUGUUGUUGUUCUCCCACUAUGUACCUUUGUACUCAUGACAUUUUUGGACAGGAUUUUGCUAGAGUUAAUAUGAUCGUAGUUUAUCAAUGACCAGCUGCCUUUGAAAUUCGAGGUAAUUAAGUUGUGCUUUAGCUUGUUUUAGUUUAGUUUUUUCUUCUGAAUUAUGAUUUUUUACUUUGUAAAGAUACUCAGAGGUAGGAUAUUCAGUAAGUGAAAUGUAUGCAUAUUUCUUUAUUAAUACAGAGCAAUCAAGAAUAUCCAUUUUACCUUUUUGGUGGGAAACGAGGAGUCCCAGAUAGCAAAAGAAGGGUCUUAUCCAAGAUGACAACUUCUAUCAAGCUGUCUGAUUGACUGAAGCACAUUUAAAUUAGGUGACCAGUUCUUUCCUUUGAAUAACUUAUACUUGUUCUGCAGGUCAACUUUUAAACUAUUGUAUUAAGGAUAUUCUUUGAUAUAGUCUUUGCAAGUUCAUGAGUGUUUUUAUAUUGGAGCCAAAUGGCAUUAAUAUCACUUGUGAAGGUUGAACCAGAUAACUAUUAAUAUGUCUGCUAAGGUUGGUUCAGCUAAUUAUAGUAUGUGAAUAUCAAUGGAACUGGCAUAAGUGGAGUUUAUCAUUUGUGAAAAUGGUUCUGAAGCUACAACAAAUCAUAUAGAUAUGAUAAUCUCAGAAAAUUUCCUUAUUAGGCUGUCGGCUUAAUUUAUUGGACAUUGACAAACAAAAGCUUUCUAUAAAUUAGGUCUAGUUCUAGUGAUUAGUAGGAGGUUUUAUUGAGUAAAUAUGCAUAUAGACUCUUGCCAACCAAAUAAGUUCCAAGUCCAUAUUAUCGUUACUUGGUUUAUUAGGUUCCACAUGCUUUCUUACAAGCUGUUUGGGUCAAUUUAAUGUGAAUUAUUGCUCUUCAGUUUUCACAAGGGACAGAGGGUUUAAACGGCCUCUUCUUUUGGAGUUUUCUCCUUUUGGAUAAGGUAAAUAGUUUUACUAAGAGUUAAUGGUCAAAAACACAUCCAAACUAUCACUUUUUGCGAGUUUCAUACCUCAACUAUCAUUGUUCGCUUUACCUACCUAAACUAUCACCCCUGUUGUAUUAAAACUCACCUUGGUGCUAGGUGGUUCAUUUGUGAACAUGCAGGGUAUAGAAUGGUUGUUUAUUAUCUGAAGAUAAUAUGCUUAAGUGAGUGAGAAACUGAUAAAGUCAUAUGGUACAUUGAUGUCGCUAGAUCCUAACAUUUGUAAUUUCUAAGUCUCUCUGGAUUAUCAAAAUGGUUUUCAUCAUCUUUCAUAAGAUGCACAUUGUGAACUAGUAGAGUAUUGCAGGGUUUGGCUGCCAAUUUUCCAGUUUCUGCAAGUAGGUCAAGAAUAUAGUUUCUCUGAGAUAGAAAAAUUCCCUUCUUGCUUCUAUUUACUUCUACUUCCAAAAAAUAUUUCAACCGGCUUAAGUCCAGACUUUAGGGAAGAGAUCCUCUCACAAUAAGAAGGAUAGUGCCAGCUGCAGAUAGUCGACCGAAAACAGAGUGAUUACAUUUGCUCAUUUUCAGCCCACACGCUUGAACUACCUCACUGAACUUGUCAAACCAAUCUCGCUGGUUGAAGCCAUACAAAGACUUCUUCAAAUGAUAGACUUUCCUAUACUCCCCCUAAGCAAUAAAAUCGGGUGGUUGUUCCAUAUACACUCCCUCUUAAAGAUCACCAUAAAGGAAUACAUUCUUGAUAUCUAACUGGUGUAAAGACCAGUUCUUGAUAACAACUAGAGAAAUGAACAAACGGACAUAAAUGAGUUUGGAAACCGGAGAAAAGGUGUCUGAAUAGUACCCCAUAAGUCUGAGCAUAUUCUUUAGCCACAAGCUUGGCCUUAAGUCUUGCCAUGGAACCUUCUGGAUUAACUUUAACUGUGAACACACACUUACAUCCUACUGCUUUAUUCCCAUUGAAUCUACCAAAUUUCAUGUGUGAUUUUCCUCAGAUGCAUGUGUUUCCUCAAGCAUCGCAUUUGAUCAUCUAGGAUGAUUCAAAGCCUUCUUCACAGUUUUGUGUAUAGAAACAGAGUCUAGAGAAGCACUCAAGGAUCUAGAUGUGGAAGAUAUGCGAUCAUAGGAAACAAAGUUAGCAAUGGAAUAUUUGGAUUGCAAGUCCGUGUACCUUUACGAAGUGCAAUAGGGAUGUCAAAAUUUUCUAAAAGGAUCAAGUAGGGAAGGAUUUGAUGACAAAGGAACUGGUGCUACACAUGUAUCAUCGGCCUCUCGUCACCUCGAAUAAACUUGAGCAAUUGACGGUUUUGCUGGAACAUGCGUCGAAGGUGCAACAGUUGUGUGGUGCUCAAUAGAGUAACUAAGAGAUGGAAAAAUAACAUCAUCUGAUUGCAUAACAUGAGUAACCUGAUAAAUUAACCACUCAUCUUCCACCCCCUUACUUGUAGAACUGCGAGAGAUAUAGAAGAAUAAUGUAGUUUUUGAAAAUAUCACAUCAUUUGACACCAAAUAGUUGCCAAGUUCAGUAGAAUAACAUUGAUACCCCCUCUAAAGACAAGAAUAACCCAAGAAAACACAUUUCAAUGCCUUAGGGUCCAACUUAGUAACAAACGGGAGUACCUCUCGAACAUAACACUUACUUCCGAAUACCUUUGGUUCCAUUGGAAAUAAUGACUUGUUUAGAAAAAGAAUAGUGUAAGGCAAAUUACAAACAAGCACCGUGGAUGACAUGCAAUUAAUCAAAAAACAAGCUGUAGAGAGUGUAUCAACCCAAACUUUUUAGGAACUUUCAUUUGGAACAUAAGUGCUCGGAUUGUCUCAAGUAGAUGCCCUAUUCUUACUCUCAUCAACUCCAUUUUGAGAAGGUGUAUCAACACAUGACGAUUGAUGGAGAAUAUCGUGUUUUCUCAAUAGGAUUGAAAUAAGUCUGACAUAUAUUCUUUAGCAUUAUCACUCCUUAAAAUACACAUCAAAGUAUUGAAUUAAGUUUUUAUUUCAACACAAAAGUGUGUAAACAUUUCAAAGAGACUUUUCAUGAAAUAAAUCCAAGUCAUUCGAUAGAAAUUAUCCACAAAAGUGACAAAAUACUUAUGUCCAGUUUUUGAAUCAAUGGGACGUGGUCCCCAAACAUCAUAAUGAAUUAGCGCAAAAGCUUACUCAAUCGGUUUAUUAACCCUUGGACGUAACGUGUUGCGAUGAUGUUUUGCAAAUUGACAUGAUUCACAUUUCAAAGAAGGAACAUUUUGAAACAGGGGGCAGAGCUUCUUUAACAAAAGUAAAGAAUGAUUUCCCAAUCGAUAAUGUGCUACAAAUAAAACCAUGACACUUGUGCAGACAACAAAUCGAGGCUCAUAUUUAUCAAGGAUAUAUAGAUCAUCAAAUAUAUAUCCUUUACCAAUAACCUUAUGUGUGGCAAGAUCACGAAACAUGCAUGAUCGGGAAAGAAUGAAAUAUAACAAUUAAGAUCUAUAAUAAGUUUACUCACAGAAAUCAAAUUGAAGGCCAACUUCGGCAUUUUUUUUUUUGAAAUAAGGGUAACUUUGUGUUCACAAAAAAAAUCAUCAUCCAAGAAAUGAUGAAUUGGAAACUUACAUCCCAUAGUAUGAUGGGCACACCCCUAUGAAGGUAACUAAAUUACAAGUUUCCUAAGAAAUCAACUACUUCUACCACCUCCCCCACCAAAUCUUGUUUACACCAAAGAAAUAGAAGACUAAUACAACUUGUUAAUCCUUUAAAAAGUAAUUUUUUUGUCCUUUAAAACACCUAGUAUUUCGGUUACCAAAAAAAACACCUAGUAUUUCUUUCCUUCCAUAUGGACCAAUAGCUACAUGUUGGGAAGAGCUUCCACCAUUCUUCCUUUUUCCUCUGCUUCCAACUCUUAGCCAACUCUUCAGAAGCUUUAAAGUAGUCUUUGGCAUCACCUAGCUAACCCUCCAAAUGCAUAAAACAUAUUCACAAAUUGGCAGCUAUUUGGCAAUGUAUGAGCAGAUGGUUGUUCACUUCAGCUUCCUGUUCACACAAGCACCUUGAACAAAUUUGCAUGCCUCUUUUCUGUAGGGCCUCAUGAGUAAGACAUGUUUUUCUGAUUAGUAUCCAAACAAAACAUGAGACUUUCAAUGGACAUUUCACCUUCAAAAACAGUUUCUAGGGCCGUCUCUCAAUCAGUAGGACAUUAUAAUUCAUCUUCCAAUAGCUUGAUUUCACUAUAUAGAUCCUUUUGUUGUGUAUUUCCCAUAUUGGCUUAUCAAACCUCUAAGAAGUACCUGGGAAAUCAUUAAGAACCCCUAAUAGCUUGGCAAUCUCCUCAAUUUCACAAUCAUUCAAUGCUCUCCUUCAAAGUAGAUUCCAACCCUGUUUACUCCAGGCUUGUUCCACAGUGUCAUUUUUCUGCAUACUCAAUGUAUAUAGAAGAGGUAAUAGGUUUCUCAAACUGUCUUCCUCUAUCUAUAUUUCAUUCAUGAACUCUGUCUUCAGUCCAUCCCCAACACUAAUACAUAUGCUGUUUUUGAAAUGUGGCUAUUGUCUUCUAAUGGUCUUCCAAACACUGCAUCUAAAUGUGCCAUAACCUCUUCAGUUGUCCACCGGUUAAAUAAACCAUACUUUCCUGAUAUAAAUCUUCUCCAUAUGGCUCUAUAUUCUAUGCAGAAUCUCCAUAGCCACUUUGGGAGUAAACUACUAUUUUGGAGACUUAGGUUCUUCAAUCUUAGCCUCCUUGGUUUUUGCUAAGUGUGAGAGUAUCCCACUUCACCAAGUUGCAGCCUUCCUUUUCCUUGUUGCCUUGCCAAAGAAAAGAUCUCCUGAGCCUAUUUAUAUUCUUCUCAAUGUUCUUGGGGACUGGAAAUAAACUCAUCAUAUAAGUAAAUGAUCCAUCUAAUACUGAUUUGAUGAGGGUCACCCUGCCACCCGUGGACAAAUACUAGUUUUUUCAUUGGGCUAGUUUCUUCUCACAUCUCUCCAACACCACAAUGCACACUUCCAGCUCUUUGCUCUUAGCACCCAAAGGUAGUUCCAGAUAUUUUGUUGGUUGUGCAUCUACCUAGCAACUCAAUGUCUCGGCUAGCCCAAGAAAAUUGUCAACUAAGUUGAUAGGGAGGAGAUGACUCUUCAACCAAUUGACAUGGAGGCUUGAAAUGCUCUACUAAAUAGUGAGUAUAGCACUUAUGUGUCUAAUUUGUGCCUCCUUUGCCUUACAGAACAUAAGAGCAUCAUCAACAUAGAAAAAGUGUGUGAUCUCCAGCUCCUUCCCUGUCCCAGCAAGUGCACUAAAUCCUCUCCCAUCCAUUAGUCUUUGCCUUCUGGAACAUGUGAACCCUCCAGGGCUAUUAAGAAUAGGAAUAGGGACAUAGGAUCUCCCUGUCUAAGACCUCUCUGAGAUUGGAAGAAUCCUUCAGUGUUUCCAUUUAUGAGGAGGGAAAACUUCACACUUGAAAUGCAGUUAUUGAUCCAGCCAAUCCACUUGCUACCAAAUCCCAUGUCCUUUAGAAUUUUUAGAAGGAAAUUCCAGUUAACAUGGUCAUAGGUUUUAUCAAUGUCUAGCUUGCAUAGAAUCCUCAGUUUCUUCUGCUUUACCAUGGAGUUGACCAAUUCAUUAGCCAACAAUGUUGCAUCCAUUAUUUGCCUACAUCUCAAAAAAGCCAUUUGGUGUUCAUCAACCAAUUUCACUAUCACUGUCUUCAUUCUCUCAGUUAGCAACUUGGAGAUGAUUUUAUAGACUACUCCUAUCAAACUGAUUGGUCUGAAGUCUUUUAGCUCAAUUGCAUCAGGUUUCUUUGGGAUUAAAGCGAUGAAUGUAACAUUAAAUGAUUUCUCAAAUGCACUCCUCUGAUGGAAAUUUUGUAUACUCAACAUUAAAGCCCUCUUUCAAAAUAUCCCAACAUUUCUUAAAGAAAUCCAUAGUGAAGUCAUCAGGGACAUGUGCUUUGUCCCUAUCACACUGGUUGAUGAUCAGUAGCACUUCCUCAUCUGUAAAUGGUCUUUGUAACCUUUCAUUUUCAUCUACAGAGACUGUUGGAUAUCCUACAAAAUCAAAAGAGGGUCUCUAGGAUUCAAGUUCUGAGUAGAGUCUGGCAUUUAAUACAGAUGAUAGGGUAAUAGAGGAAGUUGCUUUAAUGGUUCCAAAUCCCACAAUGUUAUGUGUUGAGCCAUCAACUACCAUUACUUGAGAGGGUGCUUUGUGUAGUCGAAAGGUAGAAAAUAUAUUCGGAUUACGUGUCAUGUGAUUGUGUCAUGUGAUUUGUAGUACCUGAAUCAAUCGCCCAGCUGUUCAAAGAGGAGACCGCAUAUGCUUUUCUUGAAUCAACAAGGGUAGUAGUUGAAAUGAAUUCUUUAAAGGAUUAUCGAUACUAAGAGGACUCCGCAAACUCAUUCGCCGAAACCAAAAUUGUCUUACCCUCAUAAUUUAUAGCCAUAUUUACUCCUUUCUAAUUGUUUGAGUUAUAGUUUCCAACAUAAAAUACCCAAAAUAUCAAUAUAUGAGAAGCCAACAAACACAAACAAUACCAACAAAUACAAUCCAGUACUGAAAAAGCAAUUCUUUAAUAUCAAGACAUGCAAAAUUUUAUGGGAUUAAAUCCAUACAAAAUUUGAACGAAGUUAUAAAUUCACGACAUUGACCCAAGUCAAUAUUUUGGGUUAAUAAAGUCGGAUUAAUUAUUUAAGUCAAGAUUGCAUGACUUAAGUCAAAUCCAACUACAUUGGGCUAGGUUGGGCCUCUACAAAAUGGUCCCCCCACUUGUUUUAAGCCCAAGGGUCCAUUAUGAUUACUUGGAGGCUACCCUAAAACCUUCAUCAAUGCCUAUAUAAAAUAAAGGGGCUACAUUUCUCUUUGGAAGCAUUUUGGAAAUUCUAUAACAUCUUUGAAGAUUCUAAGAUGGAAUUGGACAAAGACAAGAGAGUGUUCGACUGGAACAACGGCCAACAAAGACUAAUUACAUAGAUAACUACUCCUCCCUUCUCCUUAAGGCGUUAAGGCGAACUGUGUAGAGGUAGGAAAGAAAGACGUCCUCACCUUCUUUGGUAUCAGUGAGAGCAAUUUGAGUAUCCCUCGUGCACCUUCUUUUGUAGAUAGAAUCCUUAAUGAGUGGAAAUAAGCAACCUUACUAAGAAAGGUGCUUGUUGAGUAAGGACGACUUUCAGGCCAACCCUUGGUAUAGGUUGGGCACUUGAGCGCAUGAUUGGUCCAUUGAAUAUUGUAUAGGCCCCUAAGCCUCUCGAGCGCAGGGAUGCACACAUCUUAUAUAUCAUGAUCAUGUCAAUGCAAUCAACACGCCAAAUUUCAUUUAUUUGUUCUAUUAAGUACUUCUUUCACGCCAUUAGCUUUGAAAUUGUCUCCCUUUGCCAGUUCACCUCGAUGAAAUACUUAAGAAUAGCCUAGCUUUAGAAGGUCAUUAAUAAUAUUUGAUUCCAAGAAAUUAGCAACCAAUUCUCCCAACAAAAUAAUUGUAGUCGAAGUCAAAUAUCAAAUUAAUUUGACAUAAGGAUCAAGCAUCCACAAAACACUAUUAAUUCAAUAUUGAGCAAAACUAAACAAAUCGUGACAACACCAAAUAGAAACCAGAUCUAAAUCACAAAAGCUUCAGGGAAAAUAUGAGCUUGGAAGUAGUUUUCAGAAAACAAUAUGAACCUAGAAGUGACGAAGAGUUACCCAAACAGUGUUUCAACACUAAACAAAACUCAGGGUACGUCGAAACUGAUAAGACGACACCGGAUGUUCAAUCUUUGAAAGAUUUUGAUGGAGCACGCGCCUCCACACGUCGACGCGUGACUGACAAAUGAGAGAUGUAGCUGGUGCGUGGUGGAAAUUGAUCACUUUGAAAGUGAUCGAAAGGAUGAUCUGCCUCCUCCCACAGUGGCGGUGACACAAAUUGACCACUUUGAAAGUGAUUGAUUUGAAAUUUGACUCUGUUUCUGUAAGACAACAAAACAAGAUCGAGUUGCCUCAAAACAUAGCCAAAACAAGAUCAAGGAACCUAUAGGCUCUGAUACCAUUGAAUGGAAGUUGAUGAUCUUAUUCCAAUAAGUAAGCAAGAUAUAAAUAUAAUACAUUAGGUGCUAACUUAGGAAAGAAAAUAAAGAGGGAAUCCUACAAAUCUGCUAGCUAAUUUUUUUUUGUUGAUUGUAGCGUUCGGGCCAACUUUCGCGCACCUUGACUAAUUAUAAGAGAUUUCAACAAAUUUACUAGCUAAUUAUGCCUAUGUACAUUACUAAGAAUGAUGUCUAUAUACAUUUUGUAACAAUUAGUCCUUUUGACCACAUUUAUAUGAGGUAGUUUGACUUGAUACGCAGUCAAAGAAAGAAAGAAAGACUUUUGAAAAUUGUGGCUAAAUUAAGUCAUAAAUGUUUGUGUGACUAUAGAUCAUCUCAUUAAGGAUAAAAUGAACAUUUUAAAGUUAAUUUUUUUACUAAAAAUAGAACUGUGUCAUUCCUUUUGGGACUAACUAAAAUGGAAAGUAAAUUAUAUAAACUGGGAUAGAAGAGUAUAUAUAUGUGUGUGAUUCCUUUUUGGCUGAAUGAUUGUUUUCGUAGGUGAUAAAGCUUAUAAUUGUAGAUUGAUUUACUCAGAAGUUUGCUUUUACUGUGCUUUGUGAUCAUCAGGUUCUGCUUGUUGUGCUGACGUUUUCUGGUACUCUUCUUUAAUAUGCUUUAGUUUAGGAAAGUUAAUUUUUAGAGAUAUGAUAGUUCUUUGAAGGGAAAAAGUAAGAUCUUUCAUGGCUUUCUCUUUUAGAUUUUUUGUCAUGGUUCUGUAAAACUUUCCUUUUUCGAUCUGCUUUGAUAUGCUUUUCCUUGAGUUGAGGGUCAAUCAAAAAAUCUUAUUUUAGAUGCACAAUAUUUAUGGUAGUUUUUGGUCAUAUAUUAACACUCAUCCGUUUUAUGAAUCCUCUUCAAGAGCUUACUUUUUUCAUGUUUGAGCCUUUCCUUGUAGAUCUAAAAGAAAAUGAACACCAAUCAAACAUGCAACAACUCCUUCUGGACUAAGGAGGAGGAUAAACUCUUUGAGAAUACUGUUGCGAUCAACAAGGAUAACAACAAUCUAUUAGAGGAAAUGGAAGAAGCACUUCCUGGGAAAUCGGCUGGUGAAGAUAUAUUAAUUGAAGAUAUCAAUGUCAUCGAGUCUGGAUAUGUCCCAUUACCUAAUCAUCCUGAAAUGCAAAACCAGAAUUCAAAAGCAGAUGCAGAAUGGCGAAAAGGGGCUUCUUGGACAGAACAGGAACACAUGUCAGUUUCUAGUACAGUUCUUGAUGACGACAUGAAUAAUCUGAAUUGAAGUUUAAAUCAUUUCUUGUAAUUGAUUGCACGAUUUACAUUUUUACUAAAACGGAAUUUCCAAUAUUCUUAUUUCUCACUGACCAUCUUGGUGUGCUUCUAAACAUCUCAUAUAUUAUUAUGUUUCUAGGUGGAUAGAGUACAUCUUCGUAUAUGUCAUAGGUGUAUUUGGUCUUCAUAAAAGCUUCAGUUCUGGAGAUAUUUUGUGUAACUUGUAGCUAAGACAAACGGUGCUUACACGUAUUUCAUCUAAUUGAAUAUCACGUGAAGAGUCCCUUUUAUGCUGUCCUGCGAUCUUGUUUCCUGGAUUAACUUCAAAGCUGAUAAUAACUUAUUUCUCUAUCUUUCCUGCUAUAGGUCAUUUCUCCGGGGCAUAGAAAUAAAUGAUAAAGGUGACUGGAGAAGUAUAUCUAGGCACUGUGUGAUAACAAGAACAGCAAAGCAGGAGGAUGCUGAAGCCACAGGAACUUCCCAAGUUCCACACACCGAGUAUAUUAUUGGGUCUGCUUACGGAGGAUCACAAGCAGUGCCAAACACUAGCAAUGAGAGCAUGUUGCCUCGAGAAAGCACCAAUGCGGAGCAGAUGAUAGAAGUUGUUGGAGGAGAGUCCACAGACCAUAAUGCUGUUGUCAAUGUUGGGUCUGAUGUGAAUGUUGAUGCUGGAAGUUCCCUAUUACCCAGCAAACAAUCAUGUACUGCUGCUAGCAGUGGAACUUACGGUCAUCCUAUCUCUAGAAUUGGGAGUGAACUUGAAGCACUGCUCACUGAACCCAUGGAUGAAGAUAAUGAUAUUACUACCAUUUUUGAUGUUGGGAAAGCACCAACUUCUUAUCCUGUGCUGUUCGAUGCUACUUUAAGCGGAGUCCCCCGCUAUUCAGCUGCAGAGGCGGCUCUUGCUCAGUUACCUCCCUUUGAUGAUGAAGGCAUUUUUGAUCCGGAUGACCUGUUCACAGAUCCGAUGUUCUGAUUUGGUGGAGGAGAGGCACUUUUUUUUUUUUUUUUUGAAGACAUGCCAUUAUGUUAGUCAGUAUUGCUCUUCUUUAUCUAUUCUUAAUCUGCUUUAGGGAGCAAGAUUUUGUGUAUCUUCAAACUCUUUUGAGAGACUAGGUGGAUUUUGGUUGAAAAUUUUCAAAAGAAAAUGGUAGCAAUUUGAUUUCUUGCAAGCUCUUUGUUUAUGUAGUUUGUUGGUUUAUCUUUUUGCCAAAACCUCUUACAAGCUAAUGGUUCAGACUAGAAUCAAAUGCUACUAAGCUAAGUGUAUUUCUGUAUUCUUAUGGCUACCUGAUCAUAAAACAUAUCUAAUGUUAUGAGGAGCCCACCACCAGCGGGGUGGGACGAGGGUGGGGUGUCUGGACCGUUGUGAUUGUUUAAUCGAUCAAAUGAUCAAACUGCUUCUUAAUGUAUGGGGUGGGACUAUUUUAGUCUUUCAUAAAUACCACUUAACCAGUAUAGACCUUAAUGUAUAGAAAAAAGUGAUCUUUUUCCUUCUGCCACCAGUGUGUGCCUGCAACAAUGGAGUGUACAUUUUUAUUGCUUUCCUUAUCACGUAGUUUUGUUCUUGCAGCAAGACUCCCAGUUGGUUUAAAGUUUCGAAGGCAGCCAUAUAUUAAUUAUUGGUGCAAGAGUUUCCAUCAAAGGUAGAAAAAAAUUGCUCUUUCUUCUCAUCAUAUCAGAUUUGGUUUUCGUCUAAGUUGACCUCAUUUAGAGAAAGCUUUCUCAAAGGACCGCAGUUGAUGAGUUAACCAAGCUUGAAAGUUGCAACCAUGUUUAGAGAGAAUACUAAUAUAUAAUCUUGUCUCUUUAAAACUAAUAUAUAUGAGUAUUUUGUAAAUGAGGCAUUCAGGUAAUAUGUCUCCUUGUGGUCACAUAAUUCUUCUUAUUAAUGUGCAAACAGCCAAACAUACCUUAAAUACCUGAUUUUGUAGUUUGAUUUUGCUGCAAAACUUGAUAAUCAGCUCUUUGUCACGCUUCUGCAAUUUCCAUCCAGCAUUCUUUCCUUAUGAUGCUGAGUAAAUUUAGUCCUCAAUCAUCGAAAGGAAACAUCAGGUGCACAGGUACCACAUAGUGUUACGAAAACUGGUGUACCCUUAGGCCUUAGCGCUUAUACUAAGCUCAAGUAUUAUACUAAAUGCAACAACAUAUUGAGGACAACACUCAUUUCAUAAAGGUGUGCUUAUACUAAAGAGCUAUGGCUCAAAUAUUACAACUUCUUCUUGUCUCUUAAUGUUGUGGAAUCGAAUCCACUAUAUAGAGUCAACUGCUUGAGCAGUUUAGCCAUUUUGAGCAAUGUUUCUCAACAAUGGUGAGAUUCAUUCUCUCAGCUACACCAUUGUCUUUUCAUGUCUGAUCUCAUUGCUUGAAUAUUACUGCUCAAAUUCCAUUGUCAGUGUAGAGACGCUUUAGCUUUCUACCUGUCUCCCUUUUCACCAUAGCAUGAAACUUCUGGAAUACUUGAAACACCGGAUGUUUGGUUUUCAAGAUAUAAACCCACAACUUUCGUGAAGUAUAGUCUAAAUUGACCUCAUUUAGAGAAAACUUUCUCAAAGAACGUUAUUCCUUUUUAAAAUAUUGUCACUUCAUGAUAACCAUAAAGAGUGGACUGAUUCAAGGAUGACAUUAAUAAUAUUUGUUAUUAUUCCCUUUUAUGAUCCAGUAGGAGUCAAUUUUUCCUUUGUGAAGCUGUACUUGUACUAAGUGUAAAGUCACAAUAUUCAUCACAUGAAGGAGUAAGUGAGCUCCGAGAUGUUGAAUCUGUUGCACGAGGAAGAGGAAAGAAAGGGAAAAGAAGAGUAUAUAAAACGUUGUGUGUAUAUCAUAACGCCAACCUCAAAAAUAGAGUCGACUGCUUCAAGGAUUGACAACGAUUGAUUUAUCUGAUAACAAACCUUCAAAUCCACAUGUCUACAAAAAUAUAUUGGAAUCUUGAUACUGCCUGGUAAUUUUUUGACUUAAAUAAACAACACCAAUGAAAUGAUAGUUAGAGAUAAUCUAUCCUCACCAAUAGAUUAAUAAACUUUAGAGAGAAAUUAACUGCAUCACCAAUCUAAUAAAAAUUAUUAUUUCACUCUCUUUGUAAGGCUCCUUCGUGCUAGCUUCCAAUUUCUGAGUUCCACAGGAUUUUCCGAUCAAAUUUGUAGGCUUUUACUUCUUUUAAAUGUCAAUGGCUAGGCAUUCUUUCAUGAAAAGUAGACUGACUCAAAUUCUUCAUAUACAUCAAACGAUCCAUGAAACUGUAACCAUUUCACUUGUUGAUUGCAGGUUAAGUCUCCUCGGAUGACAACUCAAUAGCAAAGCAGUCACAAGCAUUGAAAACUCCUAAAGUGAGGCACUAUAUAUCUAUAUCUAAAAUGACAACUUGGCCUGGGGUAUAACAACUGUGUGUGCCCUCUGAACUUAUUUUUUUUUGUCAAAAUGGAUGGAAACUUGAGACCAUGAGACCGAGUUUGAUAGAAAUUUGUUCAACUUACAAAGCCAUGCCAAAUCUAAAUUGUGGCAAAGCAAAUCUAUUUUUGAGUGCUUUAGCUGUCUUGACUCUAUUGCAACUUUCAGCUCAAGAAUCAUAAAUCCCGUAUAUAUUCUAGCGAAUACCAAAUUUGGAGCAUCAAUCUUCCUUGUGCCACCUGAAUCGUCCUUAAUCUUCAAGAGAUUUAGGAAAUUGAGAUGUAGAAAUAAGGUGCUCGAGAUUCCAUCACAUGUCCACAUUCAGUAACAUCCAAAUUGUCUGGGGAAGAACUAGAAUAAUACAAGUGUUCAAGAUUGAUGCUUUAACACCCUGGUUUCUUGUUGUACAUAUGAAAACUGACCUGAUCUUUUGAAGAUUUAGCAGCUCAAUCUUUUUCAACCUUCUAUAACAAUGCUCAAGUGUGAGUUAGUGAUUGACCUCCAUCACCUGACAAAAAAGUAAUAGCAUCACAAGAAAAGAUCGCGUUGAAGUUGGUUAUAAGCGAAUUUCGUCCUCUGAAUAGAUAGCUAAAUAAUCAUUUGGCAAAGGUAGUUCUUAAAUGUUCACUUCUUUUCCCUUCUAUCUUUGUCUACAUUCUUUGUUUCCGGGCAGGGGGUGAAGGACAUAAGAGAAGAUUUUUCCUAUAGGUAAGGAAGAGGCGAAAAAGGAGCAUUAGUCACUAAGCCCAUGGACGAAGACAAUGAUAUCAGUUCCAUUUUUGAUGUUGGGAAAGCACCAACUGCUCAUAGUGGAAUGUCCAGAUAUAUAUGCAGCUGCAGGGGCAACUCUUGCUUAGUCACCUCCCUUUGCCCCCUCAGCUAAACUCCCAUUGACGAUGAAGGCACUUUUAAUAUGCAUGACUUGUUCACAGAUCAGAUGUUCUGAUUUGAUGGAGGAGAAGCUGUUAAGUUUGAUAUUAGUUGCUCACAACCAGAUAGGCUGUUAAUAUUGAUACUGCACUUGGUUUUUUGAAGAUCUGUUUAUCAAUUAAAUGAUCAAAAUGGUCCUUAAUGUAUGGGGUUGGACUAUUUUAGUCAUUUAUAUAUACCUCGUAAUCGAAAUAUGUGUAGAAAAAGUGACCUUUUUCCUCCCGCCACCACCUUUAAUAUAUCAUUUUUUCAUAUAUUAAGGACUAUUUUGAUAUGAUAUAUAUGAACUAAAAGGAUCACUUUUCUGUACAUUAAGGACUAUUUCUGUUUAAACUCCCCCUUCUGACAUGUUAUGUGAACUCCCUGUCUUGCAAAAGUAAUAGCCAAUGUGGUUUUUAGUUGUUGCAGCAAAUAGAUUUCAUGUAAUACAUGUCAGAGUUCACAUUGAAAACAAAACACCAAGAGAUUGUCUCCUUGCAAAUGUCUAUUUGUUCAAUUGUGUAAAUAAAUUGCAAACAUGAUCCAAUUAAUAAAGGGGAAAUUGUAUAAAAUAACAAACUAUUAAUUCAAAAUAAAUGUUAUAACCACAGUUUCAAUUAAUUCUGAUCCGUAGCAAACACUUUGUCAUUUCCCUCUCUCUCCUGCAUCUCACUCGCCACUCUCCUUGAAUCUCGCUCGCCACACUCCCUCACCUCUCUCACUUUAUACAAACACAAAUGUAUAAAUUGUGUUUGUAUAAAGCGAAAGAGAACUGUAUAUGCAAAUACAAAUACAUAUUUCUUCGUCCUACACACUUAUAAUUAUACAAAUACAAAUUUUCUCCUGCUCAAUUCUCUUUUUGUUUUUCUCUCUUUUUCACUUUAUACAAACACAAAUUACAUAUACAUAUACAAACACAAUUUUCAUAGACACAAACAUCCAUUUAAUACGAAUCUCCGUGAUUUAUACAAAUCGUUGCGAUUUAUACAAAUAAGAUGCUUACGAUUUUAUGCAAUCAGAUGUUGCUUGUGAUUUUAUUCAAAUUUGAUGCUCCAUAGCAAACAUGCAAAUAGAAAAAGUGUAGCUAUAAAACGUUAAUAUGAUUUUUUAUGUUUUCUAAACCUAAUAUUUACUCAAUUAAUGUCUUUGAAAUUGGUAACUAAAUAAUUUUGUGAGAUAAAAUAUAAUUUCCUUGAAGAAGAUAAAGUUUUAAAAAUAUGUCUUCCAUCUUUUGACAAUUCUUUUGAUUUCAAUUUUUCAUUUAAUAUAUUUUAGAAUAGAAACAUAUCUUUAUUUUUAAAUUAAAAAUUUUAAUUUUUUUUUUCUAAAAUUACUCACUCCGUUUAAAAAAUAAUGACCUAGUUUGACUUGGAACGGAAUUUAAAAAAAGAAAGAAAGUUUUUAAUUUUGUGGUUCUAAAUUAAAGUUAUGUCAAACGUACCAAAAUGUUCUUUAAUCUUGUGGCCUGAAACAUAUCACGUGAAAGAUUGAAGUUAAAGUAUUGACAAAAAAGGAAAAAAGAUUAUUCUUUUUUAAACGGACUAAAAAGGAAAUCUGAUCAUUUUUUUUGAAAUAGAAUACUUGUUAGGUUAAAAUUAGACAAACAAAUAGUGAAUGAGUAAUUGUAAGACCAAACCAUUGUCUUCUUCCUCUUCCUUCAACUUUCUCACAGUCUCCAUCUUUGAGCUUAACCCAUCUCCCAAAUUACUCUUCUUUACCCCUCACCGACCAACAAUGCACUCUUACAGACUCAAAACCCAGAACAAUUCGCUUUCGUUUAAGCGAAUUGUGCAGACAAGGCCAACCCCAUCUACUGUUCGAUACAAUUCCUCAACCAACAACUGUGCUUUGGAACACAAUAAUAAUUGGGUUUAUCUGUAAUAACAUGCCCCAUGAAGCCAUUUCAUUCUAUUCUCGAUUGAAUCAUGUGGGUUCAUCCAUAUGUGAUCAGUAUACUUAUUCCUCUGUUCUCAAGGCUUGCGCGGAGACCAAACGGAUUCUUGUAGGUAAAGCUGUGCAUUGCCACAUUCUGCGUUCUGGGAUUCAUCCUAGUAGGAUUGUUAGUAAUUCUUUGUUGAAUAUGUACUCUGCUACUUGUCUUACAUUGGAUAAUGGUUCUGAUUGUGAUUUAGUUGAAAGGGUGUUUAGAACUAUGCGUAAAAGAAAUGUUGUUGGGUGGAAUACUAUUUUUUCAUGGUAUGUGAAAAGGAAGAGGUUUUCGGAAGCAGUGAGGUGUUUUGUUAUGAUGAUGAGAUUAGGUAUUAAGCCAACUGUUGUUAGUUUUAUUAAUGUUUUUCCUGCUGUAUCAGAAAUAGGGGAUGUUAGAGUUGCUUAUGUUCUUUAUGGGUUGCUUGUGAAAUUGGGUAAUGCAUAUGUAAAUGACUUGUUUGUUGUUAGUGCUGCCAUUGUUAUGUAUGCUGAGCUUGGUUGCAUUGAUCUGGCAACCAGAAUAUUUGAGAAUACUUGUGAAAGAAAUAUAGAGAUCUGGAACUCUAUGAUUAGCGGGUACAUUCAGAACAAUUUUCCUUUAAAAGCUGUUGAUCUCUUUCUUGAAGCUGUAGAAGCAGAGGAUGCUGUUACUACUGAUGAUGUGACAUUUGUAUCCGCUCUUAUGGCAACUUCACAGUUGCAGCAUUUGGAGUUUGCCCAAUAGCUACAUGCAUGUCUGAUAAAGAAAUGCAAGGAUUCACAGGUUAUUUCGCUUAAUGCUAUGAUAGCCACAUACUCUAGGUGUAACCAUGUUCUACUCUUUGCAGCAGAAUGGUUUAGAACCAGAUGCUGUUACCUUUGUAGCAGUCCUGUCUACUUGCAGCUACACCGGAUUGGCCGGUACAGGCCUUUAAAUAUUUGAGCUGAUGGGUGAAGAAUAUGGGAUUCAGCCAUCAGCAGAGCACUAUGCUUGUGUGGUUGACAUGUUAGGAGAGUUGGACGGUUGGAUGAAGCUCAUAAUUUUUCUAAACACUUGGGUGUUGAGGGUAAUGUCUUGGGAAGAUGGGGAUCACUCCUUGCAGCCUGCAGAGUGCAUAUAAAUUUUGAAUUGGGGUAAAUUGUUUCCAGUAAGCUGCUUGAAUUAGAGGGGAGUGAUGGAAUUUAUGGUUAUCAUAUUCUGCUUUCAAAUAUAUAUGCAGAGGUAGGAAACUGGCAGUCUGUCAAUAACGUCAGAAGAGGAAUGCUCAAAAUGAGAUUGUCAAAGGAGGUUGGGUGUAGUUGGAUUGAUACUUCUGGAUAUCCACACUGUUUUGUAUCUAAAGAUAAGAAGCUUCCUCAGUACUGCAUGAUAUAUGAUAUGUUGGGAUAUUUAACCAUCAAUAUGUAGGAUGCUGGCUAUAAGCCUAAACUUGAACUAAUAGAAGAGUGGAUCUAUGGGCUAGAAGAAUAAAAAACUAUUAGUUCUCCCACUAUGUUGUUGUUCUCGGACUAUGUAGCUUUGUAUUCAUGAUAUUUUUGGACAGGAUUUUGCUAGAGUUAAUAUGAUCGUAGUUUAUCAAUGACCAGCUGCCUUUGAAAUUCGAGGUAAUUAAGUUGUGUUUUAGCUUUUUUUAGUUUAGUUUUUUCUUCUGAAUUAUGCUUUUUUACUUUGUAAAGAUACUCAGAAGUAGGAUAUUCAGUUAGUGAAAUAUAUGUAUAAUUCUUUAUUACNNNNNNNNNNNNNNNNNNNNNNNNNNNNNNNNNNNNNNNNNNNNNNNNNUCAAGAAUAUCCAUUUUACCUUUUUGGUGGGAAACGAGGAGUCCCAGAUCGCAAAAGAAGGGUCUUAUCCAAAAUGACAACUUCUAUCAAGCUGUCUGAUUGACUGAAGCACAUGUAAAUUAGGUGACCAGUUCUUUCCUUUGAAUAACUUAUACUUGUCCUGCAGGUCGACUUUUAAACUGUUGUAUUAAGGAUUUUCUUUGAUAUAGUGUUUGCAAGUUCAUGCGUGUUUUUAUAUUGGAGCCAAAUGGCAUUAAUAACACUUGUUAAGGUUGGUCCAGAUAACUAUUAAUAUGUCUGCUAAGGUUGGUUCAAUCAGUGGGAUAUUAUAGUUCAUCUUUCAAUAGCAUGAUUUCACUAUAUAGACCCUUUUGUUGUGUAUUUUUCAUCUUGGCUUAUCAAACCUCUAAGAAGUACUUAGGAAAUCAUUAAGAACCCCUAAUAGUUUAGCAACCUCCUCAAUUUCACAAUCAUUCAAUGCGCUCCUAAAAAGUAGAUUCCAACCGUGUUGACUCCAGGCUUGUUCCACAGUGUCAUUGUUCUGCAUACUCAAUGUAUAUAGAAGAGGGAAUAGGUUUCUAAAACUGUCUUCUUCUAUCUAUCUUUCAUUCAAGAACUCUGUCUUCCGUCCAUCCCCAACACCUAAUACAUAUGUUGUUUUUGAAAUGUGGCCAUAGUCUUCUAAUGGUCUUCCAAACACUGCAUCCAAAUGUGCCCAUCACCUCUUCAGUUGUCCAUUGGUUAAAUAAACCAUACUUUCCUGAUAUAAAUCUCUUCUAUAAGGCUCUAUAUUCUAUACAGAAUGUCCAUAGCCACUUUUGGAGUAAACUACUGUUUUAGAGACUUAGGUCCUUCAACCCUAGCCUCCUUGGUUUUUGCUAAGUGUGAGAGUAUCCCACUUCACCAAGUUGUAGCCUUCCCUUUCCUUAUUGCCUUGCCAAAGAAAAGAUAUCCUGAGCCUAUUUAUUUUCUUCUCAAUGUUCUUGGGGACUGGAAAUAAACUCAUCAUAUAAGUAGGUGAUUCAUCUAAUACUGUCUUGAUGAGGGUCACCCUACCACCUAUGGACAAAUACUAGCUUCUUCACCGGGCUUAUUUUCUCCCACAUCUCUCCAACACCACAUUGCACACUUCCAGCUCUUUGUUCUUAGCACCCAAAGGUAGUUCCAGAUAUUUUGUUGGUUGUGCAUCUACCUAGCAACUCAAUGUCUCAACUAGCCCAAGAAAAUUGUCAACUUGCUUGAUAUGGAGGAGAUGACUCUUCAGCCAAUUGACAUGGAGGCUUGAAAUGCUCUGCUAAAUAGUGAGUAUUGCCCUUAUGUGUCUAAUUUGUUCCUCCUUUGCCUCAUAGAAUAUAAGAGCAUCAUCAACAUAGAAUAAAUGUGUUAUCUGCAGCUCCUUCCCUCUCCCAGAAAGUGCACUAAAUCCUCUCCAACCCAUUACUCUUUGCCUUCCGGAACAUGUGAUUCAACCCCUUCAUGGCUAUUAAGAAUAGGAAUAGGGACAUAGGAUCUCCCUGUCUAAGACCUCUCUGAGAUUGGAAGAAUCCUUCAGUGUUUCCAUUUAUGAGGAGGGAAAACUUCACACUUGAAAUGCAGUUAUUGAUCCAGCCAAUCCACUUGCUACCAAAUCCCAUGUCCUUUAGUUUUUUUAGAAGGAAAUUCCAAUUAACAUGUUCAUAGGUUUUCUCAAUGUCUAGCUUGCAUAGAAUCCUAGGUUUUUUCUGCCUUACCUUGGAGUUGACCAUUUCAUUAGCCAACAAUGCUGCAUCCAUUAUUUGCCUACAUCUUAAAAAAGACAUUUGGUGUUCAUCAACCAAUUUCACUAUCACUGUCUUCAUUCUCUCAGAUAGCAACUUGGAGUUGAUUUUAUUGACUACUCCUAUCAAACUGAUAGGUCUAAAGUCUUUUAGCUCAAUUGCAUCAGGUUUCUUUGGGAUUGAAGGGAUCAAUAUAGCAUUAAAUGAUUUCUCAAACGCACUCCUUUGAUGGAAAUUUUUUGUGCUCAACAUUCAGUUCUCUUUCAAAAUAUCCCAACAUUUCUUAAAGAAAUCCAUAGUGAAGUCAUCAGGGUCUGGUGCUUUGUCCCCGUCAUACUGGUUGAUGAUCAAUAACACUUCCUCUUCUGUAAAUGGUCUUUGUAACCAUUCAUUUUCUUCUAUAGACUGUUGGACAUCCUACAAAAUGAAAAGAGGGUCUCUAGGAUUCAAGUUCCGAGUAGAGUCUGGCAUUUAAUUCAUAUGACAUGGCUAUAAAAUAGGUUGCUUUAGUGGUUCCAAAUCCCACAAUGUUAUGUGUUGAGCCAUCAACUACCAUUACUUGAGAGGGUUCUUUGUGUGAUCGAAAGGUAGAAAAUAUAUUAGGAUUACGUGUCAUGUAAUUACUAGUACCUGUAUCAAUCACCCAGUUGUUCAAAGAGGAGAUCGCAUAUGCUUUUCUUGAAUCAACAAGGGUAGUAACUGAAGUGAAUUCUUUAAGGGAUUCUUGAUACUAAGAGGACUCGCAAACUCAUUCGCCGAAACCAAAAUUGUCUUACCCUAAUAAUUUAUAUUUAUUUGAGUUAUAGUUUCAACUCAAAAUAUUAAUAUAGGAGAAGCUAACAAACACAAACAAUACCAACAUAUACAAUCCAGUACUGAAAAGGCAAUUUGUUAAUAUCAAGACAUGCAAAAUUUUAUGGCAAAAUUUUAUGGGAUUAAGUCCAUAUAAAAUUUGAACGAAUUUAUAAAUUCAAGACAUAUUGACCUAAGUGAACAUUUUGGGUUAAUACAGCCAAAUUAAUUAUUUAAGUCAAGAUUGCAUGACUUAAGUCAAACCCAACUACAUUGGGCUAGGUUGGGCUUCUACAAAAUGGUCCACCCACAUGUUUUAAGACCAAGGGUCCAUUAGGAUUACUUGGAGACUACCGUAAAACCUUUCAUUCAUGCCUAUAUAAAAUAAAAAGGCUACAUAUUCUCUUUGGAGGCAUCUUGAAAAUUCUAUAACAUCUUGGCAGAUUCUAAGAUGGGAUUGGACAAAGACAAGAGAGUGCUCAACUGGAACAACGGCCAACAAAGACCAAUUACUUAGAUAACGAUUCUUCCCCUUCUCCUUUAAGGCUUUAAGGCGAACUGUAUGGAUGUAGGAAAGAAAGACGUCCUCACCUUCUCUAGUGUUAGUGAGAGCAAUUUGAGUAUCCUUCAUGCACCUCCUUUCGUAGAUAGAAUCUUAAUGAGUGGAAACAAGCAACCUUACUAAGAAAGGUGCUUUUUGAGUAAGGCCCACUUUCAAGCCAACCCUUGGUAUAGGUUGGGAACUUGAGCGCAUGAUUGGUCCAUUGAAGAUUGUACAAGCCCAACGCAGGCAUGCAUACACUUAUAUCAUGAUCAUGUCAAUGCCAUCAACAAGCCAAAUAUCAUUUAUUUGUUCUAUUAAGUACUUCUUUCACGUCAUUAGCUUUAAAAAAUUGUCUCCCUUUACUGGUUCACCUCGAUGAAAAACUUAAGAAUUGCCUAGCUUCAGAAGGUCAUCAAUAAUAUUUGAUUCCAAGAAAUUAGCAACCAAUUCACCCAAAAAAAUAAUUGUAGUCGAUAGUCAAAUACCAGAUUUAUUUGACAUCAAGAACAAGCAUCCACAAAAAACUAUUAAUUCAAUAUUGAGCAAAACUCCGCAAAUCACGACAACACCAAACUGAAACAAGAUCUAAAUCUCUGAAGGAGAGACUAGCAUACUAGAACAUUAAUUGUCCCGAACAACAUGUUUUCGCCCUAGUCUAUUUCCAUUAUUAUGUAUUGCCAGCUUGGAAAGGGAUCUUCACGUGAUAUUCAAUUAGAGGAAAUACGUGUAAGCACCGUUUGUCUUAGCAACAAGUUACUCAAAAAUAUCUCUAGAACUAAAGUUUUUAUGAAGACCAAAUACACCUAUGAGAUAUAUGAAGAUGUACUCUAUCCACCUAAAAAUAUAAUAAGAUAUGAGAUGUUUAGAAGCACACCAACGUGGUGAUUGAGAAAUAAGAAAUUUUGAAAUUCCAUUUUAGUAAAAAUGUAAGUAGUGCAAUCAAAUACAAGAAAUGAUAUAAACAUCAAUUCAGAUUAUUAAUGUCGUCUUCAAGAACUGUACUGGACACUGACCUGUGUUCCUGUUCUGUCCAAGAAGCCCCUUUUCGCCAUUCUACAUCUACAAAAAAUGAUAUAAACAUCAAUUCAAAGUAUUAACUCUGGUUUUGCAUUUCAGGAUAAUUAGAUAAUGUACAUAUCCAGACUCGAUGAUAUUGGUAUCUUCAAUUAAUACAUUACAAUGAUCCUUAAUAACAUCCGUCAAUUUCCCAAGAAGUGCUUUUGCCACUUCCUCCAAUAGAUUGUUGUUAUCCUUGUUGAUCGCAAAAGUAUUCUCAAAGAUUUUAUUCUCCUCCUUAGUCCAGAAGGAGUUAUUGCAUGUUCGAUCAGUGUUCAUUUUCUUUUAGAUCUACAAGGUUAGCUCAAACAUGAAAAAGGUAAGCUCUUCAAGAGGAUUCAAAAAACGGAUAAGUGUCAAUAUAUAACCAAAAUUUAUCAUAACUAUCGGGCAUCUAAAAUAAGAUUUUUUGUAACCCCUGACACUUAGAAAUCAGAAACAAUCUCAACAACACACAAUCUUCUAAAUCAGUUAUGGAUACUAAGAGAGACUAUUUCUGACACACACUUGGCUCAAGUUACUUUUCUUAGUAUCCAUAACUGAUUUAAAAGAAUGUGUGUUGCCGCGAUUGUUUUUGAUUACUAAGUGAUAGAGGUUACAAAAAAUCUUAUUUUAGAUGCCCGAUAUUUAUGGUAGUUUUUGGUUAUAUAUUGACACUCCUCCGUUUUCUUAAUCCUCUUGAAGAGCUUUAUCUUUUUCAUGUUAAAGCUUUCGUUGUUGAUCUAAAAGAAAAUGAACACCGAUCGGACAUGCAAUAACUCCUUCUAGACUAAGGAGGAGGAUAAAAUCUUUGAGAAUACUCUUGCGAUCAACGAAGAUAACAACAAUCUAUUGGAGGAAAUGGCAAAAGCACUUCUUGGGAAAUUGACGGAUGAUAUUAAGGAUCACUAUAAUAUCUUAAUUGAAGAUACCAAUGCCAUCGAGUCUGGAUAUGUCCCAUUACCUAAUUAUUCUGAAAUGCAAAACCAGAAUUCAAAAGCAUAUGUAGAAUGGUGAAAUGGGGCUUCUUGGACCAAAUAGGAACACAUGUCAGUUUGCAGUACAGUUCUUGAGGACGACAUUAAUAAUCUGAAUUGAUGUUCAUAUCAUUUCUUGUAUUUGAUUAGACGUCUUACAUUUUUACUAAAACGGAAUUUCAAAAUUUCUUAUUUUUCAAUGACCACGUUGGUGUGCUUCUAAACAUCUCAUAUAUUAUUAUAUUUCUAGGUGGAUAAAGUACAUCUUCAUAUAUUUCAUAGGUGUAUUUGGUCUUAACUGCAUCACCAAUAUAAUACAAAGUAUUAAUUCCAACUUCUGAGUUCCACAAUAUUUUCAGAUUAAAUAUGUAGGUUUUUACUUUUUAAAAUUGUCAAUGGUUAGGCUUGCUUUCAUGAGAAGUGGAUGAGUAUUUGUAAGAUAAUAAUUUUGAAGUGGAUGAGUAUUUGUAAGACCAAACCAUUGUCUCACAGGCUCCAUCUUUGAGUUUAACCCAUCUCCCAAAUUAAUCUUCCCUACUCCUCACCGACCAACAAUGCACUUUCACAGAGCCAAAACCCAGAACAAUUCGCUUUCGUUUAACCCCAUCUCGCCCGCCAACUGUUCGAUACAAUUCCUCAACCAACAAUUGUCCUUUUGGAACACAAUUAUCAUUGGGUUUAUCUGUAAUAACAUGCCCCAUGAAGCAAUUUCAUUCUAUUUCGAUUGAAACAUGUGGGUUCAUCCGUAUGUGAUCAGUAUACUUAUUCCUCUGUUAUCAAGGCUUGCGCGGAGACCAAACGGAUUCUUGUAGGUAAUGCUGUGCAUUGCCACAUUCUGAGUUCUGGGAUUCGUCCUAGUAGGAUUGUUAGUAAUUCUUUGUUGAAUAUGUACUCUGCUACUUGUCUUACAUUGGAUAAUGGUUCUGAUUGUGAUUUUGUUGAAAGGGUGUUUAGAACUAUGCGUAAAAGAAUGUUGUUGGGUGGAAUACUAUUUUUUCUUGGUAUAUGAAAAGGAAGAGGUUUUCGGAAGCAGUGAGGUGCUUUGUUAUGAUGAUGAGAUUAGGCAUUAAGCCAACUGUUGUUAAUUUUACUAAUGUUUUUCCUGCUGUAUCAGAAACAGGGGAUGUUAGAGUUACUGAUUUUCUUAAUGGAUUGCUUGUGAAAUUGGGUAAUGCAUAUGUAAAUGACCUGUUUGUUGUUAGUGCUGCUAUUGUUAUGUAAGCUGAGCUUGGCUGUGUUGAUUUGGCGACCAGAAUAUUUGAGAAUACUUGUGAAACAAAUACAGAGAUCUGGAACUCAUGAUUAGCGGGUACAUUCAGAACAAUUUUCCUUUUAAAGCAGUUGAUCUCUUUCUUGAAGCUGUAGAAGCAGAGGAUGCUGUUACUACUGAUGAUGUGACAUUUGUAUCUGCUCUUAUGGCAACUUCACAGUUGCAGCAUUUUGAGUUUGCCCAACAGCUACAUGCAUGUCUGAUAAUGAAAUGCAGGGAUUCACAGGUUAUUUCGUUUAAUGCUAUGAUAGCCACAUAUUCUAGGUGUAACCAUAUUGGCAAUUCACUUUAAGUUUUUAAUGGAAUGAAGGAAAGAUAUAUUGUGUCAUGGAACACCGUGGUGUCUGCUUGGUACAGAACGAACUGGAUAACGAGGCUUUGAUGCUUGUAUAUGAGAUGAAAAAGCUAUGGGGUUGCAAUUGAUGAUAUAACAAUUACCAUCCUGCUUUCUGCGGCAUCAAAUCUUAGGGACAGGGAAAUUGGUAAACAGACCCAUGCUUAUCUUCUGAGGCACAAUUUUCAAUUUGAAGGGAUGGAGAGUUACCUGAUAGUCAUGUAUGCCAAAUCUAAUAUGAUUAGAGAAGAACGAGCAAUAUUCCAGUUGAACUUCACAUAUGAUAAAGAUCAAGCCAC
rnacentral:lncRNA from 1 species